UGCCCCUGUUCAUUUUUAAAUGAUUCACUUCUCUGUUACCAGCAUUUGGAGUCAUUAAAAACAAAUAGAGUUGAAAAGAAAUAAUACACAGCUAAGACCCAAACACUAAUUCCCCAGUGAGUUACCUUUCCCUGGAAGGAUGAGCGGCACCAGGGCAGAUGGGCGUUUUCUGCAUCCAGACACCCACCCCUGCCACACUCUGGAUGGAUGAAGGACUGUUGCCGGGGCAACGACACAUACAAACCAGCGGCUGUUAACGAGCACCGGCCCUGGGGUGGCAAAAUGACCCAGUGACUGACACUUAGCUCCCCCCCACCCCCAAGAGCCGAGAGGUCAGAUACGGACAUCCAAAGAGGUCCCACUCCCUCCUCUAUUUACAGGGACAGGAAAUGAACUUGCUGCUUCACCACCCACACACAGGACCCUGGGCAGGGACUUGGAAGAGAUUGGGGUUAUUAGGAAACAAGAGAACUUCGGAUCAAAAAGCAGCUUUCAAAACUCCUUAAAGUCAAAAUGUUUCAAGAAUAAGAAAGAAGGACAACUUCAACUCACGUACCUUUACUUGUCCAGUCUCUUGAUUAGAAUAAAGAGGUUAUCAGCAA